UUUUUUUUUCUUACAGACAGAACAAAUAAUAAUAAGGACUGAUGUUUCGUUUAUUGAUGUCAGGCCAAACUACUAAAACUGAAGCUUAACAUUCCUGCCAGUACACCUGAUGGGCAGAUGAAGCCUUAUGAUACUUUGAGGUUUCAAAUGAAGACAACUAACACAUAGCUGCUUGUUUAAAGCAGUUUGCAAUGACAUAGGACAUUUGUCACGGUCAGAAAAGACCCCACAGGUUGUUGUUCUUCAAAAUCUUUAACAUAAAAAGCUGUAAUAUUUAUAUUUCAUGCAUUCUUCAUAAAACAUGGUUGUGACAUGAGGCAAUUUGAAUUAGUUCAGUUUUAUUUAUAUAGUGCCAAAUCACAACAAAACAAUUUCAAGGCACUUUACAAGAUAAGGCUUAGCACCUUGCAUAACUAAACCCAACAAAUCCCACAUUAGAGAUGGGAAUUUUGGUUCUUUUAACUGACUUGGAUCUUUAACUCAACUCACUCUUCAAAUCAUUUUGAGUCAUUCAUUCAUUUUGUUCAUUUACAGCAGGCGGCGCUGUGGCCGUAAUAAUGGUCGUGGUUCCUACAUUCACACAAAGGACAGCAUGGUGAUAAGUUGAAGUCCCUUUGUUGUACUUGAGGAAUUUCCUGGCACAUCUUUAGAUCAGGCAUUAAACAUCACACAGAAACCAAUCUACUAUGAAAUCAUAACAUUAACACAGAAUUCAAUGGCAUCAGUUUCAUGGAAGUUGGAAGUUCUGGUGCAUCUGAACCAGAACUUAAGAAAAACUUAAACUUGUUGUUUAACAACUUGUGUCCAAAUAAAGUUUCUUGGUCUCUUAAGGAGCACAUUUCACAUUUUAUGGCUGGUGGUCCCAGUUCUGGGAGAGACAGCUUCUCAGUGAUAAAUGUGACAGUCUGUCCUUUUGGCAUGAUAAGCAGAGGUGGAAUCCUAUGAGAUUUACAGGUAGAUCAACAAAGUGGGCUCAUGGUUCUUUGAUAUGGACAGGGAGAUAUUGGUGCCUGUUGUAAUAGAAGCCAGUCUUCUGUGGUGGAGAAAAAUUCAGGGUUCUUUAUCUCUGGGGACUGGAAAGGACGUAGAGGCUCUUCAAUGAGGGAGUUAAGUUCACAUGUAGGUCAGGUUAUCUCAGUCCAGACGUGGAUUGCUACAACAAUCAACAAAUUAUAAUCACAAAAUGCUACAAGCAAUUACACCACAUUAAUGUGACUUAUGUCCUCCAUCUUCCCUGUUGUUUAACAGCGUGAUAGUCGCUUGGUAGCGAUCACAAGGUAAAAGAACGAACGAACCAUCUGUAAAGAUCCGUAUGAACGUGCGCUUGCUGCUCGCUACAGAAACUGCACUCUGAACGAACAACGAUCCAUAUGAACGAAUCCCAAAAGAACUGUAGCGCUUGGUGCUCGCCACAGAGCCUGAGCUAUGAACGAGAUUAAUGAACUAAUCUGCGCAGCCCGAGCUGACUUUUACGUGGCAGCUGGUAGUGAACAGGUAAAAGUACAACUUAUUUUGACAAUUAGUGAGACUUUUAAAGCAAAAGGUAACAACAUAUUGAAAUUUAAAAAGUAUACUAAAUGUAUCUGGUGCAUUUAUCUUCCAAAAAUGUGACAUUAUCAUUAUUAUUAUUAUAUUUUAAUAAUAAUAUAAUUUAAUAAUAAUUUUAAUAAUUAUUAUAUUUAACAAUAAUAAUAAUAAUGAUGAUGAUUGUGCCAGAGUAUACAGGACCACAAAAUCAACAUGUUGAUAUGUUCGAAAGUAUUGAUUUACUGUACAAACACACUUUACAUUAUAUACACAAUAAAACUACACACCUACAAGAAUCAAAGACCUCCAAUUAUGAUUCCAUGAAGAAAUAUUGAUGUCGGGUGACAAAUAAAUAAACAUCAGAAAUCAGCAAAUGCACAGUGAAUGCUUCCACGCUGAAUGUAUUGCUGAAGAAUUGCUGAAAUUAGUUUAAGCAUUGAAAACAGCUGGAAUUGGAUGCAUAGCUGAAUAUCUGUUUUGCAUAUAUUAAUACCUAAAUGCAAAACAUAAAACAUUUUUCAUUUUUACUGCUGCCUUAAUUAGAACCUAAACCAGAGUCCUCAGGGUUGAAGUCAAACCCUUAACUGCUCAGCCAUAGUAACUGCUGAGAGCACUUCUCUAAGCAGCAGUGUACAUACUAUUUUAAGAACUAAAAAAUUCCUAAUGUUGUUGAAGGAUCUAUAUUAUAGCUGUACAUUGAUGAUAUAUUAAACAUACAAGUUAAUUUAUGUGAAGGAGAUCCAAAUAUUUAUAUUAAGCGGUGUAUGCAUAGAAAUGACAGACAGGAAUCAAACCAUGGUCUCCCACUCGAGUGAAGGAUUAAUGCCAUUGAGCUACAGGAUAUAAGAGCCAAGAGAGGACAAACCUUUGUCUAGAUGGGUAAAUAGUGUUGUAAAAACUUAAAAGUAUUAACAUUUUAAAUGUGUUUAUUAGACAAAAAGCUAAAUGCUGUAACAAUUCAAAAGUUGCAGAUCUAAUGUAAAACUGUAUAUGCUAAUGAAAAAUCAUACAUUGAAUAUUCCAAGGCUCACUCCUUAUCACCAGUUUCUGUUAGGGUGCAUCACCCAUAAUGCAUUGCACUCUAAAUUUGCAUAUAAUGCUGUAAUGUUUGAUUUAUUCAUCAAAAAAUACUAAAACAUUAAAAUAAAUAGCUGAAAGUGGUUUAUGAACUAAAAGUAUAGCUGUAUAUAUUUAUCUAAAAAAGUAUAAAGCUGAGCAUCUUUAAAGGGCCCAUAUCAUGCAAAAUCCACUUUUUAGACAUUUUGGAGCGUUCCUAUGACUCUAUGGGUCACAUAUACACACACUGAGCACGGUAGAAAUGCAUUUCCUGCUUUUUUCACAUUUUGAAAACGUAAAUUUUCUUAUCCAAUGAAAACAGCCACGACCUACUCUGAGGCCGUUCCCCAGUUCUCGUCACACUGGUUGAAAGUUCUCCUUGCAAAUCCUGAACCACCACCCCCACAAUGAUCCCGAACCAAAACUGGACUUCCGCCAUUUCCCCCCUCUCACUCACCGUGAACAGACCAGCACGGCAGCGCCCAAGUCCUCCCAUAGAAAUAGUUCGGUUAUUGGGUGUUCUAACCAACACCAAAGUCUAUUCACUUUACCAAGGGAUCAACAAGUGAGGAUUUGUGGGUCACUUUUAUUUUUAACGGACCGGUGCCAGAAACACUGCCUCAGCAUUUAUACGUAUGUGCAUUUCAAACGAGGGUGCGUACAAUGCUGGAUUUGUUUCACGGCUCCUGUUGGAAAAAAAGGACCUAUUCCUAAAGUCCGUCAUCCACUCACUGAAGAGGGCAAAUCCCAGUUGCCCACAUGCAAGGAGGCUGUCAAACAGAGAAAUCACUGCAGACUGUUGGUACACAGACAUCUGCUGCCCAGCUCAGGAGUAAAGGUAUGUAAGUUUGUAUGUACCAACAGUAAGAUAGGUAAUAGAAGAUUUUAAUUGGUAUAUACUGUUUAGAUUUUAUAUUUGAAUUGUAACAACUGUUUAUCUGUUGUUUUAGCACAGACAGGCCUGUCCUCUUGUUUGGUUUAAUUUUUUGUCUGGUAUUGUGUGUUCUUACAUUAGAGAAGGUUUUGACCUACAUAAUAAUUAACAUUUCACUAAUCUACAAUUCUGAUUGCACUACCUUUUGUUUUGAUGAGGUGAUGGUGAGGACAGCCACAGCUUCCAUCUGGUAGAGGACUGCUUCCGCUCAGUCUUCCAAAUAGUGAUGAGAACAAGGAUCACCACAUCUCCCUGUUUACCCUACUUUCAUGCAUUUCGUCUGCAAGGCCCUGCAAAAGCUUCUCCUUCGUCCUCAAACCCCCAGACUUCUUAAUUAACUCAGUAACCUAUACAUUGCACAUUGGAGUGUGAAGGUAACAGUUUGUUCUAGCUUUGGCGUAGUGGUGUAUUUUUUUGGUUUAUAAUAAAGUUGGCUUUAACUAUUAUGUAUUUCACUGAACUCUGUUUCUGAAGGGAAAACACUUUUAUUUAGGAAAUCAUAGUAUUGAAAUUACAUGUUUUUCUCUUUCUAAUAUGGUAAGCUAUAAAGUUGAAGCGGCCAUAAAUAAAACGCAUAUAAAUUAUAUAUAAAUAAAGUUAAAAAAAUUCUUAAUGAGUGUUGCACUCACAAAAAACACAUUUUUACUCAAACGGUAAAGGAGUUAUUCUACAGGUGGUCUACAUCAAUCAUACUAUGAGUGUUUUAGUGUUUUAUCCAUCAGGAAACUGCCUUCAUCUACAACCCAAGCAUGAAGAGAUGGCAACUCAGAUUCUUCACCCCAGGAAUCCUCAGCACCAGCUCACUAGCCUCUGUAGACUAGAUACCUGUAACAACUUUAGAUACAGAGACAUAUUACUGUCAAAUUUAUCAUGAAUGACAAAAAACAUAAUUAAAAGCAGUAAAAAUACGUUAGGUCAAUAUAUAAUUUGAACCAAUGCUUUUUGUUCCCAGGUAGGUCAUGCAGUGAUUGCUCUAAAUAUUAAUGCACAUUUUUUAAAUAAAAUUGUCAGAGCAGCAGCACAAGUAAGACAAAAACAGUGAAAUGUGUAAAUGUAAAAUGUAUUUAUAUUAUUUCAGCUAUGCUCUCAAACUUAUUUAUUUGUAUAAUGUGAGCUAAAGUAGUGUUUUCUAUUAGUGAGAGUUUUCCAGGUAAGUCGUGUUGUGAAUAUUGAAGCUGCACACGCCAUUUAGCAUUCGCAUUAGCAACCGCUAGUCGCUUUGCAAAUUACAUAAAUCAAUUAAAUUGAAGUAAAUGCGACAUUACCAAUGAGACACAUCUUGCAUCAGCCGAAAUGUGGUGACUUCAACAGCCUCCUCUUCAGCUUCAGGGUCAGAUUCGGGAUCGUAGACGUAUGGUUCUACUACGCUAUGAACCAGCUGACUAAUGUCGUGCAGUUCUGUAGUGGGUCGUCUUCUUCUGUGGUGGAUUGCAUUCUCAAUGUCGCACUACUGCCACCUAUUGUAUCCUAACCGUGCGGUGGCUCGUAUCCAUGGAGCCAAUUUAAAAAAAAAAAAACAACAACAAAAAAGGUAUGCACUU